CAAUGGGCGAAAGCCUGACCCAGCAACGCCGCGUGAAGGACGAAAUCCCUUCGGGAUGUAAACUUCAAAAGUUGGGGAAGAAAUGCCGGAGGAUAAAACCCUUCGGAGAUGACGGUACCCAACGUAAGCCCCGGCUAACUACGUGCCAGCAGCCGCGGUAAUACGUAGGGUGCGAGCGUUGUCCGGAAUUACUGGGCGUAAAGAGCUCGUAGGUGGUUUGUCGCGUUGUUCGUGAAAACUCACAACUCAAUUGUGGGCGUGCGGGCGAUACGGGCAGACUGGAGUACUGCAGGGGAGACUGGAAUUCCUGGUGUAGCGGUGGAAUGCGCAGAUAUCAGGAGGAACACCGGUGGCGAAGGCGGGUCUCUGGGCAGUAACUGACGCUGAGGAGCGAAAGCGUGGGGAGCGAACAGGAUUAGAUACCCUGGUAGUCCACGCCGUAAACGGUGGGUACUAGGUGUGGGUUUCCUUCCUUGGGAUCCGUGCCGUAGCUAACGCAUUAAGUACCCCGCCUGGGGAGUACGGCCGCAAGGCUA
rnacentral:rRNA from 1 species